UGCUACAGCCAUGCUACCCUGAAUGCGCCCGAUCUCGUCUGAUCUUGGAAGCUAAGUAGGGUCAGGCUUGGUUAGUAUUUGGAUGGGAGAUCGCCUGGGAAUACCGGGUGCUAUAGGCU
rnacentral:rRNA from 1 species